rnacentral:piRNA from 1 species
UAGCCAAGAAUGAUCUUUUAGCUGGAGUC